AAUGAACGCUGGCGGCGUGCCUAAUACAUGCAAGUCGAACGGCAGGACGGGGAGCUCGCUCUCUUAACGUUGGCGACUGGCGGGUGAGUAACACGUGGAUAACCUUCUUAUAAGACUUGGCUAACAGCGGGAGAACGGAGAUACUACUGGCUCAUAUAUUGUACGGGAUGUAUCAGUAGAGCAAGACAGUUUUCGCGUAACUAAUAGCUGGAUCCGCACCGUAUUAGCUAGUUGGUAAGGUAACGGCUUACCAAGGCGACGAUGCGUAGCCGACCUGAGAGGGUGAUCGGCCACACUGGAACUGAGACACGGUCCAGACUCCUACGGGAGGCAGCAGUAGGGAAUAUUCCGCAAUGGGCGAAAGCCUGACGGAGCAACGCCGCGUGGGUGAUGAAGGCCUUCGGGUCGUAAAACUCUGUUAUUAGGGAAGAACAAAUGUGGAAGUAAAUAUGCAUGUCGUGACGGUACCUAAUGAAUAAGCACCGGCUAACUACGUG
rnacentral:rRNA from 1 species